rnacentral:tRNA from 1 species
GGGGGUACAGCUCAAUGGCAGAGCACUUGCUUGGCACGCACAAGGCUCUGGGUUUAAUCCCCAGUACCACAA